rnacentral:antisense_RNA from 1 species
CUGAACACAAAAUGGCGACACGUGGUUAGCAUUCGUCGCCAACGAGAAAUUGGGGUCGGCCCGAAAGCUCUAGAAUGCACCCCUAUUCCUCCCCGGGGCCAUUCCCGCUCAACGAGUUUUAUGACCUAAAAAACCCCACAGGCUGGUCUGAAGAGGAAGACACUUAAAGAUGAAGUGCUUAAUUCAAGGUCACAGAAUGUCGGGGAUGGACCUCCAGAUUUCCUUACUGACCUGCAUUAUCUUGUGGAUACCUGAGUGAAUUCCACACCACCCAUUUUAUAGAUGAAGCCACUGAGACGUGGAGCAACUGACUGAGUAGUCACUGCCCCACCCCUGCCUGGAGCCUCACACAUGACUUCUCUUAGUGACCACAGGUUGGUUGAGGGGUUUAACAAGGCUAAGAAGGUGAGACGUGGUCUUGUAACACAGUGGUUAAGAAUGUGACUUUGGAGCCAGCCUGCUAGGGGCUGAAUUCUGACUCAGCCAUUUAUUAACUGUGUGACCUUAGAUGGAGUCUCACUCUGUAGCCCAAGCUGGAGUGGCGUGAUCUCGACUCACUGCAACCUCCGCCUCCUGGGCUCAAGUGAUUCUCGUGCCUCAGCCUCCUGAGUAGCUGGGACUACAGGUCAUAGAAUUUUCCACACUCCUUGACGGAGGUUCUUAACCCUUAUCCAUCAGCAUUCUCAGACAGCACCUCCGGUUAGGGACAGUAUCUGACCGUCCGACAUCCCUGCAGCCCCCAUGCUGUCACACAGACUCAGCCUCAGGUAGAUGGUUUCCGUAGAUGGUGGCUUUCUUUGGACCCUUGAUAUCAACCAGUUACUAUUUGACUCUUCUGCAGAACCCCAUGUUGACCCCUGCUUUGAGGUGGCAGCGUUAACACUACUCUUUGUUAUAAGCUCUCGUCUGGGGCAACUCAGGAGAACCUCAGCAAGGCCCACAUUCUCCCGGUGAAGCCACAGAACCACAGGGAGAAAUCCAUGGACUUGGCCUCGCUCUCUAGGGGACCAGAUGUGCAGAGGUAAUGAAUACCAGGGAAUCAGGAAACCACUGGAUCAGUUCUUUGAGCCAUAGAACAACACUCAUCCCAGCAGCUGGGAAGCUAUCUGCAAAAGUCCAUCUGCAGAAAGGGCUUCCUGGUCUUGCGUGUGGCUGGGCCAUUUCUCUGGAUGCAGGUUUUUCAUUAUACAGUCUUCUCAAAGGACCACCUGCUCUCAACACC